GAUGAAGAACGUAGCGAAAUGCGAUAAUUAAUGUGAAUUGCAGAAUUCCGUGAAUCAUCGAGUCUUUGAACGCACAUUGCGCCUCAUGGCAUUCCGUGAGGCAUGCCCAUCUCAGCGUUAGAAAAUAUUCUCAAAUUUUAGUUUUGUGCUAAAAUUUGGAUCAUGUCAAGGAAGCUAUUACUAUUAUUGUGAUCGCUCUUUGGAAAUUGAUAGGUCUUUGAGUUGCUACUCAUAGAACGUGAUGAAUCUUUCUUCGUUCUAUUGUAAUUCACUCUGGUAGUCCUAAAACUUGUAUGCCUGUGGUAUAUCUUGUAAUUUGACCUGAGAUUGGGUAGGGAUACCCGCUGAACUUAAGCAUAUCAAUAAGCGGAGGA
rnacentral:misc_RNA from 1 species